rnacentral:tRNA from 1 species
UCCCUGGUGGCUCAGAUGGUAAAGCGUCUGCCUGCAAUGCAGGAGACCUGGGUUCGACCCCUGGGUUGGGAA